rnacentral:rRNA from 1 species
CCUACGGGUGGCUGCAGUGAGGAAUAUUGGUCAAUGGUCGGGAGCCUGAACCAGCCAAGUCGCGUGAGGGAAGACGGUCCUGUGUAUUGUAAACCUCUUUAGGCGGGGAGCAAUGCCGGGCACGCGUGCCCGGAUGGAGAGUACCCGCAGAAUAAGCAUCGGCUAACUCCGUCCAAGCAGCCGAGGUAAUACGGAGGAUGCGAGCGUUAUCCGGAUUUAUUGGGUUUAAAGGGUGCGUAGGCGGAUUUUUAAGUCAGCGGUAAAAGGUCGGGGCUCAACCCGGGCCGGCCGUUGAAACUGGGGAUCUUGAGUGGGAGAGAAGUAUGCGGAAUGCGCGGUGUAGCGGUGAAAUGCAUAGAUAUCACGCAGAACUCCGAUUGCGAAGGCAGCAUACCGGCGCCAGACUGACGCUGAGGCACGAAAGCGUGGGGAUCGAACAGGAUUAGAUACCCCUGUAGUC